AUUGAACGCUGGCGGCAUGCUUUACACAUGCAAGUCGAACGGCAGCGCGGGCUUCGGCCUGGCGGCGAGUGGCGAACGGGUGAGUAAUGCAUCGGAACGUGCCCAGUAGUGGGGGAUAGCCCGGCGAAAGCCGGAUUAAUACCGCAUACGACCUGAGGGUGAAAGCGGGGGACCGAAAGGCCUCGCGCUAUUGGAGCGGCCGAUGUCGGAUUAGCUAGUUGGUAGGGUAAAGGCUUACCAAGGCGACGAUCCGUAGCUGGUCUGAGAGGACGACCAGCCACACUGGGACUGAGACACGGCCCAGACUCCUACGGGAGGCAGCAGUGGGGAAUUUUGGACAAUGGGGGCAACCCUGAUCCAGCCAUGCCGCGUGCGGGAAGAAGGCCUUCGGGUUGUAAACCGCUUUUGUUCGGGAAGAAAUCCUCUGGGCUAAUACCCCGGGGGGAUGACGGUACCGGAAGAAUAAGCACCGGCUAACUACGUG
rnacentral:rRNA from 1 species